CAGAAGUCAUUAGCUUAACCCUUCGGGGAUGGCGAUGACCACGGUGUGGUUCAUGACUGGGGUGAAGUCGUAACAAGGUAGCCCUAGGGGAACCUGGGGCUGGAUCACCUCCUUACGUAAAGAA
rnacentral:rRNA from 1 species